rnacentral:rRNA from 1 species
UACGUAGGGUGCGAGCGUUAUCCGGAAUUACUGGGCGUAAAGCGUGCGUAGGCGGACUUUUAAGUCGAAUGUUAAAUCUGCAGGCUCAACUUGCGGGCUGCAUUCGAUACUGGGAGUCUUGAGAGUGGAAGAGGCAGACGGAAUUUCCGGUGGAGCGGUUAAAUGCGUAGAUAUCGGAAAGAACACCAAUGGCGAAGGCAGUCUGCUGGGCCAUUUCUGACGCUAAGGCACGAAAGCGUGGGGAGCGAUCGGG